rnacentral:lncRNA from 1 species
CCAUGCCGUACGUAGCACUUUCAAAUCAGUCAUCUGGGGGAUUUGUGACCUUACAAAAAUUUCUGGUGGUUUCUGACAUCCAACUUUCUCCCUGUCUCAAACUCUCGCUCUCCCCGUGUUCUGCCACAUAUUUUCAGGCAAGAAUCUGAGCUGGUGAAAAAACUAAAAGACAGAAAAUCCAACAUCCAACAGCGACCAUAAAAAUUGUAUUUUAAAAUCACAGCAUCUACCAGGAACAGCUGAUACAAGAAUGCACAGCAUAUUUUAAUCAUAUCAACUGUGCCCACCUCAAUUUAGAUCCUGGGAAAAGGCUAACAAAGACAACACUCACAUUCGGUUUAAACUAGUCUACUGCCACAGGAAAGUACCUUGAACAUCAGUGAAGACUUAUACACAGAAUGAAUUUCCCCUCCAGGGAAAAUCAGCGAAUAUAAAUUCAUUAGGGCCAUUAAUUCAUCCACAUAAACACAAUGGACAGCACUGUUAAUGGUAGGGGAAAAAAAUCAGACUCUUUAAGAAACAGACGGUAACACCUAAAGCAAAGAGAGUUGAGUUCUAAUUGUGCUUCUUGUAAGAAGACAAUAAUAACACCUGUUUCUUUCUCAUGGAGAAUAGAUACGAACUUGCUAAAAAUAUGUUUAAGUUCUUCUAGGUAAAGCUCUAUGGAAUCCCAAGGGAGUCCAAUCAGAAAGGGGAAAUAGACUGGUGUGUUCCCUUCAUUUUCGAUGAGGGCUAGGUGCCCAAAAUGUUUUAAAAGCAGAAAACUGGUAACGCUGGAUGUAUUGUCAAAAUACAUUUCCCUCUGGUUAAGAAAAGCAGAGAGGGAGAGCUGGAAGGGCGGAGCGGUAAGCAUUGUCAUCAAAGCAUUGUUAAUAUGAACUGAAUUAUAUUACAAUGGCAACGCUUCAACAUGGAGAAUGAAAAUUGUUCUGUAUUAUUGUGGAUUGACAAUAUGACAAUCGUUCAUUGAGAGCGCAUGACAGCUGUGGCAUUCUAGCUCCGCGCACAACACAAGAUGAAUGAGUGCUACAAGUUCUUCAGGAUGGGCCCCUAUUUCACAAGAGUCCGUCUCAUCCCAAAAUAAAUACACGCCAGCUUUUCCCUAUCUCAGCAAAUUUAGCAUCUCUUUACAAACCAACGUGCUACCAGCGGCCUCAAAGUGCCAGUGUCAAGUCCCUGCUUAGUGGAUUUGCAGCAGCUGUGAAAUGUCAAGUCAAAAUGCCAUGGAAGAUCUAUACAGCGCCUCGGCAGAAGAAAGGGUAAGAAAUGGUGGAACGCCCAUUCCCGGACACAUGUGAGCUGUCUCCUCAUCCACAGGAGCACCGCUAAGGAAUUCGCCUCUUGGCACCAGGCUCGUCCCACCAUAGACAUAGGAGACACAUUUGUGGACCUCCUAUACCAAAUUAUUCACCUAAAAGAAGUCAUAUCAUACAUGCUACUUGAAAUGAACACAUUUCGGAGUCCAGAGAUAUUUACAUAUCCUCUUAUGGACAACGAAAGCCAUUCCUGCUUACCUACUGCCCCCGGGCCCCCUCCAAAAAGAACCCAGCAAGGUAAAAAGCACAAAAUCCACCCAUCAUAUUACCAUGAGAAAGUAAAAGUCCUCUGUUAAUCUUCUGAUUUCCAGCUUUAUUGCAUUUUAAAAAAAAUAUUCCUAAUUAAAUUUAUUUUUAACUGACACAUAAAACACAGCACUUGCACAUAUUCAUGGGGUCCCAUGUAAUGUUUUGAUGUCUACAUAAACUGAAUAAUUAGGCCAAACAUUUCUUUCUCUUCUAACAUAUAUCACUUCUUCAUGGGGAAAACAAUCAAAAAUCUCUUCUUGUAGUUUUUGUAGAUAUGCAGGACACAACUGUUAUCUGAGGUCACCUCACUGUGCAGCAGCAGGCUAGGACCUCUUGUUCCUAUUUACGUGCAACUUAGUAUCCGCUGGCCAACCUCUCCCCAGCCUCACCACCUCUCCUGCCUCCAGCCUCUAGUAACCACCAGUCACUACCACUCUACACUCAAUUUCAAUGCAUUUUUUUUAAAGAGAAUUUGCUGCAUCUCCUUUCCCAGGGCCUGCUUUUUUAGAAUGCAG